UACAGAGGGUGCAAGCGUUAAUCGGAAUUACUGGGCGUAAAGGGCGCGUAGGCGGUUAGUUAAGUUAGAUGUGAAAUCCCUGGGCUUAACCUAGGAACUGCAUCUGAUACUGGCUAGCUAGAGUGCAGUAGAGGAUAGUGGAAUUUCCGGUGUAGCGGUGAAAUGCGUAGAUAUCGGAAGGAACACCAGUGGCGAAGGCGGCUAUCUGGACUGACACUGACGCUGAGGCGCGAAAGCGUGGGGAU
rnacentral:rRNA from 1 species